UUACUUUGGCAGAUUAGUGUGUUUGAUUUAGAAUCAUUUGAAGUAAUUUUUUUACAGGUAAUAU
rnacentral:tRNA from 1 species